CUUCCUUCCUUCCUUCCUUCCUUCCUUCCUUCCUUCCUUCUCUUAGUGGUGAAUGUUCAUCCGUAAAGAUUUAGCAAAUAAGAGAGAUAAAUAAUAGGCAAUUGAUCUAGCUAAGAAAAGAAAUAUACUGGUGUUUGAUGACUUUGUCAUGUCUUAAAUAUUAGCAUUUUCACAACUGAGUAAUAUAUUGAGGAUGGUGGUUACAUCAAUUUUCUGAAGAAACAACUUUUUUUGGAGUUAACAAAAUGGUGUUGAGCUGUGGAAAGAUGGCCUCCGAUCUCACUCAUCAAGGGUGACACCAAGAAGAAUUUUUUCACUCUGCAAUCCAUUCCGUAUGUCAAUAAUAUUUAACUCUGAAAACUUUGGUCUCUUUUCAGAAUCUUAAGAUAUCAUCUAAUUCUCUUUCUUCUUUAUUCAGCCAUCACUUUAUAUUUACUGGAUUUUAAAAAUCUUUGAAGUAUGUUGGUUUCACACUCCUUUGUCUCUCUUUUCCCCCCUUGGAGCCUGCUAAUCAAACAUGAGUCGUUAAUUUUCAUCACUUGCAGCUUGGAGCCAUUUCAUUACCACAUCGCAAAGCCAAUCUUUCCAUAAAAUUCCUCAGACAAAAUGAAAUUCUUCUAUCAGCUUUUGGAUACUGACUGGCCUUUGUGAAGAAAGGGAAUUCACAAAUAGAGAUCAAACAAGAUGUAACAUGUGUGCCCAUUUUCUCUUCUACUUUGACUGAAGUUGUGAUUAAGGAAUCUGAAGAAGUUCCAGAAGCUGUGCUCUGCAUGCUUCCCUGAUC